rnacentral:rRNA from 1 species
GCUUAGUAACACGUAGUCAAUUUGCCCUUAGGUGAAGGAUAAGCACGGGAAACUGUGUCUAAUACUUCAUAGGAGUUUAGUGCUGGAAUGCUUUUACUCUGAAACUUUUGGCCUAAGGAUGAGACUGCGGCUGAUUAGCUUGUUGGUGGGGUAACUGCCUACCAAGGCGAUGAUCAGUAGGGGCUCUUAGCGGAGUAGCCCCAAGAAGGAAUCUGAGACACUAUUCCUAGCUCUACGGAGUGCAGCAGCUGCGAAUCUUUUACAAUGCACGAAAGUGUGAUAAGGCGAGCCAAAGUGCUAAUUCUUUUUGAAUUAGCUUUUAUUCAGUUUAAAACGCUGGAUGAAUAAGGACUGGGAAAGAUCGGUGCCAGCCGCCGCGGUAAUACCGACAGUUCAAGUUGCAUCCACUUUUAUUGGGUCUAAAACAUCCGUAGCUUGUUAGUUAAGUCUCUUGUGAAAUCUUAUGUCUCAAGCAUAAGGCUUGCGGGAGAUACUGGCUAGCUAGAGACCGGUAGACGUAAGGAGUACGGGCAAGGUAGUGGUUAAAUACGUUAAUCUUGCUUGGACUAACAAUUUAGCGAAGGCACCUUACGAGGACGGAUCUGACAGUGAGGGAUGAAGGCCAGGGGCGCAAAACGGAUUAGAUACCCGUGUAGUCCUGGCAGUAAACACUGUACACUAAACAUCGGGCCCUCUUAGGGAGGAUUCGGUGCUGAAGGGAAGCCGAAGAGUGUACUACCUGGGAAGUAUAGUCGCAAGGGCCAAACUCAAAGGAAUUGACGGG